rnacentral:sRNA from 1 species
UUUUAGCCCCGAUUGGCGCGGCAUCCUUUUUCUGAAAUGGCUUGCAAAAAGCGCUGGCGAAAAAGAUACAGCAGAAAGCGGGAUCAGCU